rnacentral:tRNA from 1 species
UGGGGUGUGGCUCAGUGACAGAGCACUUGCCUGACACGCAUGUGGCCCUGGGUUCCAUCCCCUGCACCACAC